CAUCCCAUUGGAGGGCCAGCACCUGAUGGGUGGAGCAGCAGCAGGUGUCAACAAUUACAAUCUGCCUACAUAGGCCAGCCAGAGCUCCACCACAUCGCUGGAUCGUCUCUUUCAGUACACGGAGUCUAUGCCUCUUAUUUUUGGUACCUUCGCCCAGACGCUCAAUGCCACAAACUCCACAGCUCUGUGGAUAAUAACUGCUUGAACCCAAACCCUCGAUAUCUCAGGUGCCUGUUUUGGGGUUCUCAACCCAUGAACAUAACAAUUGUGUCAAGGGAGUCCUACACAGUACCUCAAAAGAUCCCCCACCCCCACGUCCCACCAUGAGGACGCACAGUCACACAACCCCGCCGACAGAAAUACAACAUGCCACCCCCUCCACCCCCUUGGAAGAAGAGGGAUAUUAGAAGUUUUUUUUCGGCCAGCACAAGCCAAUUUAGGCCAGCCUCCAGAAGGAACAACAAAGUCAAGCUAGCUGUCCCUCAUUUGGAUUAUUGUUUGCAUUAUGUGCUAUACCGUAAUGCAACGUGGUGGCUUCAGAGUGCAAGUCCCAAGAAAAGGUCCACUUCAGAGGGACACUAACAUGAACAUGAACUGACAGGAGAAAAAAAAUCGGUGAAAUGAAAUCGCACAUCAGAAUUUCAUGACAGUACU